rnacentral:lncRNA from 1 species
UAUAUAAUUUAAUUUAUUUAUAUUUAUUUCAGCAAUAUUUCCUUAAUGCCUUCUUCUUAGACAAUAUAGUGUGGAGUGUGGACAUGUAGGCAUGUAUGUGCUUGUGUGUGUGUUUUCAAUACAAUAGGGCAUAUACAUCACAUGUUGAUAUGCACAUACAUGUUAAUAUGUGCUCUCUGAAGGGUACAGUUGGUGUGUCUCUGUGUGUCUGAGAGUUAAGUCCUGCUGUUUUUUUUGUUCUGUUCAAUCUGUGUUUACACACGCACACACACACCACCUUAAACCUAAUUAAGUCCAUAAUCUCGCAGAAGGACUCUCACACUCUUACAUUCACGGAAGCCCUCACGCACUCAGACAUUGCGUAUCUGUGGAUGGAUAUUUUCUGCGUUAAAUAGCGGUCAAGCAACAUGUUGAAGAGAUAAAGUGGAUGAGUGAGGAAGAACGUGAGGGGAGAAAGGGGUGUAUGUCACUAUGUACAGUACCAGUCAAAAGUCUGGACAGACCUACUCAUUCAAGGGUUUUUCUUGAAUGAGUAGGUGCAUCCCAAAAGGUACCCUAUUUCUUAUAUAGUGCACUACUUUUGACAGAGCCCUGGCGGGCCCUCGUCAAAAAAGUGCAUUAUAUAGGGAAUAGGGUGCCAUUUGGUAGGUACACAAAGUGUGUGUGUGUCCUUUAAUCAAUGACAUCUAGCAUUACAACACCUGGUUACCAAGUAAGCCUACCUAGGUUGCACAAGGACUGGGUGCAUUCUAUCAGGGUGAAACUUUAGCGGGACCUGGAACAUUUCUAAUCAAACAAAGCUUGGCAUCAUCUGACACAGGAACAGGAUACAUGUUCUUUGACACCGAAUACAUACAGGAUACAUGUUUGAUCACAUUUGAAUGAGCAAAUAGUUCUGAUGAUUGUGACAGUGAGACAUGAACACAUGAUCUAGUCCAAAAGAUAGCCAGCUGCUCAUUGUGACUCGUCCUGCAAAAAAGAUUUCACGACAGUCCUGAUGGAAAAAGCAAAUUGGAAACCGCAAAUAAUCAUCAUAUCGUAUCGAAGUAAACUUCGAGUCACGUGAUGAUAUGUUGAGGAUCUUAAUCCAGAGAAAUGAUGAUCGAUACUUGGCUGCCUUUUGACAUAUUAAAAUAAUCUCGCUCUUUUGUCCAUAAUAAUCUCAUCAUAUAGGCUAUCCUACGCACACUGUAUCUGCAAGCUGUUGGCUAGAGAGCACGUGCCAAGACCAGAGUGGGCACAGUCGCAAUAUAACGCUAUUUAUUUUUUUACAUAACCCCAUUUAACUUGUAUUAUUUCUUCGGUACAUUGUCAUUUAACCGCAAAUGUUAUUUUUAUGUGCACUACGUCUUAAGACACAGAGUUUUUCCGCAACAGGUCAGUUUAAUGGAAACACAUCUAGGGUAGGAAAAUCCAUAUUUUUGAAUAUUCACAUGAAAAUCUGUCACCAAUUGGAUGUACUCUUCAUUUACCUCUCAACAAUGGCUGAAUUACAAUCUGUAAGUAGUAGAACUGUUCACUCGUACUUUGGCCAAUACUACAUUUUUUACUGACAUGUUUAAAACAAUUUUCUAUAAUGGAAAGGAGGGCAUACACUCACAUGUUAACAACAUAGACUACAAAGGGGCACUGCAAAAAUACUACUCUCAGAGACAGAAAGACGGAACAAAAAUCUGUGUGUGUAUGUGUUUGUGUAAGGGAUGGCAGUAGAAAAUCGACCAAUCAGCAUGCAGAACUUCGGGUCACCACUUUUAAAAACUAAGUAAAUAAAAAAAAUACAUGAAAAAAGAAACAUGAAAUACUUACAGAAAGGAUUUACAAACAUGAAGUGUUAAAAAUAAAUGUUUCCACUUUAAGAGAUGAUUUUCAAUCUCUUUUUAAUCUCUUUGUUUUCAAUGAUUACUGGUUGGUUCUCGUUUUUUGAUUUGUUGCUACAUAUGUUCUUCUUACAGUUAGUGUCCAUACUGUUAUUAUCAUUAUUAAUGUAAUUAAAAUGACUGAUAUUGAUCACAAGUAAGGUGGGAAUCAGCUGCUAUGUACUCUGCUCCUCACCUCCUCCUUUUCUUCCUCUUACUUCUCCUGCUCCUCAACAUUUUCUUUUCUCUUUUAAUGUCCACUGUCUGUCACUCAAACAAAAAUCGACAUUGUUUAAUAAACAAUUAAAAUGUGAAAUAUU